rnacentral:lncRNA from 1 species
UGCAAAAAAAUGAUUAACUUUGGUUUACUCACCUUUUUUAAAGAUUUUUUACUCUUACUAUCUUUUUUCACCUUUUUGUGGUUGCUUUGUGUGUGUUAUCACUUCCUUUUAUUAUGGACUUGUUGUUGUAUUUGUUUGGUUGAUGAGGUCUAUUAGAUCAUGACCAUGGUUGUUUAGAGUUGAUUAAAUCUUCAAUAUUUCAAAC